rnacentral:rRNA from 1 species
AUUGAACGCUGGCGGCAGGCUUAACACAUGCAAGUCGAGCGAGCGGCGGACGGGUGAGUAAUGUCUGGGAAACUGCCUGAUGGAGGGGGAUAAGUACUGGAAACGGUAGCUAAUACCGCAUAACAUCAGAUGUGCCCAGAUGGGAUUAGCUAGUAGGUGGGUUAAUGGCUCACCUAGGCGACGAUCCCUAGCUGGUCUGAGAGGAUGACCGGCCACACUGGGACUGAGACACGGGCCAGACUCCUACGGGAGGCAGCAGUGGGGAAUAUUGCACAAUGGGCUAAAGCCUGAUGGAGCCAUGCCGCGUGUGUGAAGAAGGCCUUCGGGUUGUAAAGCACUUUCAGCGAGGAGGCGUUACUCGCAGAAGAAGCACCGGCUAACUCCGUGCCAGCAGCCGCGGUAAUAC